rnacentral:tRNA from 1 species
GGUCGAUUGGUGUAGUGGUUAUCACGUUCGCCUCACACGAUGAGAACACGCGAAAGGUCCUGAGUUCGACCCUCAGAUCGAUCA